rnacentral:misc_RNA from 1 species
GAUGAAGAACGUAGCGAAAUGCGAUAAGUAAUGUGAAUUGCAGAAUUUAGUGAAUCAUCGAGUCUUUGAACGCACAUUGCGCCCCCUGGUAUUCCGGGGGGCAUGCCUGUCCGAGCGUCAUUGCUGCCCUCAAGCACGGCUUGUGUGUUGGGCCCCGUCCUCCGAUUCCGGGGGACGGGCCCGAAAGGCAGCGGCGGCACCGCGUCCGGUCCUCGAGCGUAUGGGGCUUUGUCACCCGCUCUGUAGGCCCGGCCGGCGCUUGCCGAUCAACCCAAAUUUUUAUCCAGGUUGACCUCGGAUCAGGUAGGGAUACCCGCUGAACUUAAGCAUAUCAAUAAGCGGAGGA